rnacentral:rRNA from 1 species
CAGCCGCCACGGUAAUACGAAGGGGGCUAGCGUUGCUCGGAAUGACUGGGCGUAAAGGGCGCGUAGGCGGCUUGUACAGUCAGAUGUGAAAUUCCUGGGCUCAACCUGGGGACUGCAUUUGAUACGUAUGGGCUUGAGUGGAGAAGAGGGUUGUGGAAUUUCCAGUGUAGAGGUGAAAUUCGUAGAUAUUGGAAAGAACACCGGUGGCGAAGGCGGCAACCUGGUCUUUAACUGACGCUGAGGCGCGAAAGCGUGGGGAGCAAACAGGAUUAGAUACCCCGGUAGUCCCUGUCUCUUAUAC